UGGGGAAUCUUGCACAAUGGAGGAAACUCUGAUGCAGCGAUGCCGCGUGAGUGAAGAAGGCCUUUGGGUUGUAAAGCUCUUUUGUAGGGGAAGAUAAUGACUGUACCCCAAGAAUAAGGUCCGGCUAACUUCGUGCCAGCAGCCGCGGUAAUACGAAGGGACCUAGCGUAGUUCGGAAUUACUGGGCGUAAAGCGCGCGUAGGCCGUUGAGUUAGUUAAUUGUGAAAUCCCAAAGCUUAACUUUGGAACUGCAAUUAAAACUGCUCGACUAGAGUUUGAUAGAGGAAAGCGGAAUACAUAGUGUAGAGGUGAAAUUCGUAGAUAUUAUGUAGAACACCAGUUGCGAAGGCGGCUUUCUGGAUCAACACUGACGCUGAGGCGCGAAAGUAUGGGUAGCAAAGAGGAUUAGAUACCCUCGUAGUCCAUACCAUAAACGAUGAUUGCUAGAUGUUGGAAAUUUAUUUUCAGUAUCGCAGCUAACGCAUUAAGCAAUCCGCCUGGGGAGUACGACCGCAAGGUUA
rnacentral:rRNA from 1 species